CCUACGGGUGGCUGCAGUGGGGAAUAUUGGACAAUGGGCGAAAGCCUGAUCCAGCCAUGCCGCGUGUGUGAAGAAGGCCUUCGGGUUGUAAAGCACUUUCAGUGGGGAAGAAAGCCUUGGGGCUAAUACCCUCGAGGAAGGACAUCACCCACAGAAGAAGCACCGGCUAACUCCGUGCCAGCAGCCGCGGUAAUACGGAGGGUGCGAGCGUUAAUCGGAAUUACUGGGCGUAAAGCGCGCGUAGGCGGUCUGAUAAGCCGGUUGUGAAAGCCCCGGGCUCAACCUGGGAACGGCAUCCGGAACUGUCAGGCUAGAGUGCAGGAGAGGACGGUAGAAUUCCCGGUGUAGCGGUGAAAUGCGUAGAGAUCGGGAGGAAUACCAGUGGCGAAGGCGGCCUUCUGGACUGACACUGACGCUGAGGUGCGAAAGCGUGGGUAGCAAACAGGAUUAGAUACCCCAGUAGUC
rnacentral:rRNA from 1 species